rnacentral:piRNA from 1 species
UACAGUUGCUUGAUGCCCAGUGUCUUCUGCU